ACGAACGCUGGCGGCGUGCCUAAUACAUGCACGUAGAACGCUGAAGGAGGAGCUUGCUUCUCUGGAUGAGUUGCGAACGGGUGAGUAACGCGUAGGUAACCUGCCUGGUAGCGGGGGAUAACUAUUGGAAACGAUAGCUAAUACCGCAUAAUAUUGACUAUUGCAUGAUAGUCAGUUGAAAGGUGCAACUGCACCACUACCAGAUGGACCUGCGUUGUAUUAGCUAGUUGGUGGGGUAACGGCUCACCAAGGCGACGAUACAUAGCCGACCUGAGAGGGUGAGCGGCCACACUGGGACUGAGACACGGCCCAGAGUCCUACGGGAGGCAGCAGGAGGGAAUCUUCGGCAAUGGACGGAAGUCUGACCGAGCAACGCCGCGUGAGUGAAGAAGGUUUUCGGAUCGUAAAGCUCUGUUGUAAGAGAAGAACGAGUGUGAGAGUGGAAAGCUCACACUGUGACGGUAUCUUACCAGAAAGGGACGGCUAACUACGUG
rnacentral:rRNA from 1 species